rnacentral:rRNA from 1 species
AGUGAACGCUGGCGGUAGGCCUAACACAUGCAAGUCGAACGGCAGCACAGUAAGAGCUUGCUCUUACGGGUGGCGAGUGGCGGACGGGUGAGGAAUACAUCGGAAUCUACUUUUUCGUGGGGGAUAACGUAGGGAAACUUACGCUAAUACCGCAUACGACCUACGGGUGAAAGCAGGGGAUCUUCGGACCUUGCGCGAUUGAAUGAGCCGAUGUCGGAUUAGCUAGUUGGCGGGGUAACGGCCCACCAAGGCGACGAUCCGUAGCUGGUCUGAGAGGAUGGCCAGCCACGCUGGAACUGGAGCACGGUCCAGACUGCGACGGAAGGCAGCAGUGGGGAAUAUUGGACAAUGGGCGCAAGCCUGAUCCAGCCAUACCGCGUGGGUGAAGAAGGCCUUCGGGUUGUAAAGCCCUUUUGUUGGGAAAGAAAAGCAGCAGGUUAAGACCCCGCUGUUCUGACGGUACCCAAAGAAUAAGCACCGGCUAACUUCGUG